rnacentral:rRNA from 1 species
CAGUAGCCGCGGUAAUACGAAGGGGGCUAGCGUUGUUCGGAAUUACUGGGCGUAAAGGGCGCGUAGGCGGCCAUUCAAGUUAGAUGUGAAAGCCCUGGGCUCAACCUAGGAAUUGCAUUUGAUACUGUUUGGCUUGAGUUCGGGAGAGGUGAGUGGAAUUCCCAGUGUAGAGGUGAAAUUCGUAGAUAUUGGGAAGAACACUAGUGGCGAAGGCGGCUCACUGGACCGACACUGACGCUGAGGCGCGAAAGCGUGGGGAGCAAACAGGAUUAGAUACCCCGGUAGUCCCUGUCUCUUAUAC